GACGAACGCUGGCGGCGGGCUUAACACAUGCAAGUCGAACGGAGUGGCGAACGGGUGAGUAACGCGUAAUCAACCUGCCCUUCAGAGGGGGGCAACAGGUGGAAACGGCUGCUAAAACCGCAUACUGAAGGUGGGGAUUUGGUGUGGUUAGCUAGUUGGAGGGGGAAAGGCCCACCAAGGCCAUGAUCAGUAUGCGGUCUGAGAGGAUGAACGUGCAAAAUGGGACUGGGACACGGCCCCGACUCCUAAGGGAGGCAAGAGGUGGGAAUCUUUCGAAAUUGAGGGAAGUCCGACGGAGCCCAGCCGGGGGAGUUAUGACGGCCUUCCGGUUGUAAAGGUAUUUUCAUCGAGACGCGGUACCGGAAUAGAAAGCAACGGCUAACUACGUGCCAGCCGCCGCGGUAAUUC
rnacentral:rRNA from 1 species